CAGCCGCCACGGUAAUACGUAGGGUGCAAGCGUUAAUCGGAAUUACUGGGCGUAAAGCGUGCGUAGGCGGUUUGUUAAGUCUGUUGUGAAAUCCCCGGGCUCAACCUGGGAAUGGCAAUGGAUACUGGCAAGCUAGAGUGUGUCAGAGGAUGGUGGAAUUCCCGGUGUAGCGGUGAAAUGCGUAGAGAUCGGGAGGAACAUCAGUGGCGAAGGCGGCCAUCUGGGACAACACUGACGCUGAGGCACGAAAGCGUGGGGAGCAAACAGGAUUAGAUACCCCGGUAGUCCCUGUCUCUUAUAA
rnacentral:rRNA from 1 species